rnacentral:rRNA from 1 species
GAUGAACGCUGGCGGCGUGCCUAAUACACGCAAGUCGAGCGAACAGACGAGGAGCUUGCUCCUCUGACGUCAGCGGCGGACGGGUGAGUAACACGUGGAUAACCUACCUAUAAGACUGGGAUAACUUCGGGAAACCGGAGCUAAUACCGGAUAAUAUAUUGAACCGCAUGGUUCAAUAGUGAAAGACGGUUUUGCUGUCACUUAUAGAUGGAUCCGCGCCGCAUUAGCUAGUUGGUAAGGUAACGGCUUACCAAGGCAACGAUGCGUAGCCGACCUGAGAGGGUGAUCGGCCACACUGGAACUGAGACACGGUCCAGACUCCUACGGGAGGCAGCAGUAGGGAAUCUUCCGCAAUGGGCGAAAGCCUGACGGAGCAACGCCGCGUGAGUGAUGAAGGUCUUCGGAUCGUAAAACUCUGUUAUUAGGGAAGAACAAAUGUGUAAGUAACUAUGCACGUCUUGACGGUACCUAAUCAGAAAGCCACGGCUAACUACGUG